rnacentral:rRNA from 1 species
AACGUAGGGGUCGAGCGUUAUCCGGAUUUACUGGGCGUAAAGCGCAUGUAGGUGGUUUUUUAAGUUGGACGUGAAAGCUCCCGGCUCAACUGGGAGAGGUCGUUCAAAACUAAAAAACUUGAGGGUGGUAGAGGAGAGUGGAAUUCCCGGUGUAGUGGUGAAAUGCGUAGAUAUCGGGAGGAACACCAGUGGCGAAGGCGGCUCUCUGGGCCAUUCCUGACACUCAGAUGCGAAAGCCAGGGGAGAGAACGGGAUUAGAAACCCCUGUAGUCC